rnacentral:rRNA from 1 species
CCUACGGGAGGCAGCAGUGGGGAAUAUUGGGCAAUGGGCGCAAGCCUGACCCAGCAACGCCGCGUGAAGGAAGAAGGCUUUCGGGUUGUAAACUUCUUUUCUUGGGGACGAAGAAAGUGACGGUACCCCAGGAAUAAGCCACGGCUAACUACGUGCCAGCAGCCGCGGUAAUACGUAGGUGGCAAGCGUUAUCCGGAUUUAUUGGGUGUAAAGGGCGUGUAGGCGGGAUUGCAAGUCAGAUGUGAAAACCACGGGCUCAACCUGUGGCCUGCAUUUGAAACUGUAGUUCUUGAGUGCUGGAGAGGCAAUCGGAAUUCCGGGUGUAGCGGUGAAAUGCGUAGAUAUACGGAGGAACACCAGUGGCGAAGGCGGAUUGCUGGACAGUAACUGACGCUGAGGCGCGAAAGCGUGGGGAGCAAACAGGAUUAGAUACCCUAGUAGUC